GGCCUAGUGGCUCAGUUGGUUAGAGCGCCGCCCUGUCACGGCGGAGGUCGUCGGUUCGAGUCCGAUCUGGGUCGCGA
rnacentral:tRNA from 1 species